rnacentral:rRNA from 1 species
CACGUAUGGGGCGAGCGUUGUUCGGAAUUAUUGGGCGUAAAGGGCAUGCAGGCGGUUAUCUAAGUCUGGCGUGAAAUACCUGAGCUUAACUCGGGGAACGCGUUGGAAACUGGGUGACUAGAGUUCUGGAGGGGAAGCUGGAAUUCCAGGUGUAGGGGUGAAAUCUGUAGAUAUCUGGAAGAACAUCAGUGGCGAAGGCGAGCUUCUAGCCAAGGACUGACGCUGAGAUGCGAAAGCGUGGGGAGCAAAC